GCGGAUUAAAAGAAAGCAAAGAGGACGUCAAGCCGUUGAGAAGUUAUAGCGUACGGAGGAAGGGGCUAUCUACAUACAUGUACAUAUGUAUUUUGGGUGCUGCUGGUGUAUACAGUCAAAUGUUUAUAUGUCCUGCAGAAAAGGGAGGCAGUAAUGUCAGCAUGUCACUGAGCAAGUAAAAGAAGCAUAGAAAUAAAAACAAAUCCAAAAGAAGAAAUAAAAACAUCAGCAACAGCAAGUACUUUCGACCUACGCAACAACUUAUUUUUAGGCCAACGCAAUCUGCUUCACCCAUUACCACCGCCUACUACUCAUGCAAGCUCGCACUUUUCUACCAUAUACAUAUUUUAACCUCGUUGCCGCUAUGCCAGCUUUGUGGAUGACGUUUCAGUCUGCUAUUGCCAACGCGCCUUCAUCGACCAAAGUAGGUCCUAGUAGAUCCUGUGCAGGCGGCUUGUAUGUAGAUAAAUGUGCCGUUUAUUUGAAUUGUUGGUUUUACCACUCCUGCAUCGUUUGGCUGGCAUAGUUUUAAACAGUUCUUUACGCUCGGAUAGACUGUCUGCAGUGUAAAAGUGCAAUUUUCUCGGAGCCUGCCGCAGAUUUUAAUUGAAAUUCUAGACAAAGCCUCAAAACAUGGGAUGAUGACCCUCCUCAAACGUGUUUUACCAGAUCGAUCAAAACAAAGAGAGAUAACAUACUUAUUUAAGCAAAACAUUGUUUAAGUUGGCCAAAUCAAAGCUAAAUCGUCAUAAAAAAUCGGUCGAUAUGAUACUUCCACGCUGGUGGUGCAUAUGAGGAUUUUAGCCCACUGUUCAAUCCGUCUUUAUCCCCAGAUAUCCCUCCAAAAGUAUAAAAGAAACGAUACAUGACACUGCGAAUCCAAGGAAGAUCGCGUACGUACUAAACAGUGUCUAAGACAAUAAAGACAGUACUUCAACGCUCACUUACACCCGGACAUCUGCGAUUCGCCUUACAUACAUACAUCAGCGCAGCAAAUCCAGCAUACUACACGCUAUUUCAAAUGAUCUCAUUCUGAAGCAAGACUGACAGCGCGCAUCUACACUAAUACGGCGUUUCCACGCUUCGUAAUUCGCUCUCCCAUUUGUCAUUCGC